GACGAACGCUGGCGGCGUGCUUAACACAUGCAAGUCGAACGGUGAAGCUCCAGCUUGCUGGAGUGGAUCAGUGGCGAACGGGUGAGUAACACGUGAGCAACCUGCCCCUGACUCUGGAAUAAGCGCUGGAAACGGCGUCUAAUACUGGAUACGAGAAGGGUCCGCAUGGGCACUUUCUGGAAAGUUUUUCGGUUGGGGAUGGGCUCGCGGCCUAUCAGCUUGUUGGUGAGGUAAUGGCUCACCAAGGCGACGACGGGUAGCCGGCCUGAGAGGGCGACCGGCCACACUGGGACUGAGACACGGCCCAGACUCCUAAGGGAGGCAGCAGUGGGGAAUAUUGCACAAUGGGCGAAAGCCUGAUGCAGCGACGCCGCGUGAGGGAUGACGGCCUUCGGGUUGUAAACCUCUUUCAGCAGGGAAGAAGCGAAAGUGACGGUACCUGCAGAAGAAGCACCGGCUAACUACGUG
rnacentral:rRNA from 1 species